AUGGACACGCUGUGUUCCAUUCUCCUGCUGCUGACUGUCCCUUCCUGGGUCCUGUCCCAGGUCACCAUGAAGGAGUCUGGUCCUAGGCUAGUGAAACCCACCCAGACGCUCACGCUGACCUGCACCUUCUCUGGGUUCUCACUGAGCAUGUCUGGUAUGGGUGUGGGCUGGAUCCGUCAGCCCACAGGGAAGGCACUGGAGUGGCUGGCACUCAUUGAUUGGGAAGAUGAUAAAUACUACAGCCCAUCCCUGAAGAACCGGCUCACAAUCUCCAAGGACACCUCCAAAAACCAGGUGGUCCUAACAAUGACCAGCAUGGACCCUGCAGACACAGCCACAUAUUACUGUGCACAGAGAGCACAGAGACACAGUCCGGCGUGA